UACGUAGGGCGCAAGCGUUGUCCGGAAUUAUUGGGCGUAAAGAGCUCGUAGGCGGCUUGUCACGUCGGGUGUGAAAGCCCGGGGCUUAACCCCGGGUCUGCAUUCGAUACGGGCAGGCUAGAGUGUGGUAGGGGAGAUCGGGAAUUCCUGGUGUAGCGGUGAAAUGCGCAGAUAUCAGGAGGAACACCGGUGGCGAAGGCGGGUCUCUGGGCCGAUACUGACACUGAGACGCGAAGGCGUGGGGAGCGAACGGG
rnacentral:rRNA from 1 species